GCAAGUCGAGCGGGCAUAGCAAUAUGUCAGCGGCAGACGGGUGAGUAACGCGUGGGAACGUACCUUUUGGUUCGGAACAACUGAGGGAAACUUCAGCUAAUACCGGAUAAGCCCUUACGGGGAAAGAUUUAUCGCCGAAAGAUCGGCCCGCGUCUGAUUAGCUAGUUGGUGAGGUAAUGGCUCACCAAGGCGACGAUCAGUAGCUGGUCUGAGAGGAUGAUCAGCCACAUUGGGACUGAGACACGGCCCAAACUCCUACGGGAGGCAGCAGUGGGGAAUAUUGGACAAUGGGCGCAAGCCUGAUCCAGCCAUGCCGCGUGAGUGAUGAAGGCCCUAGGGUUGUAAAGCUCUUUUGUGCGGGAAGAUAAUGACGGUACCGCAAGAAUAAGCCCCGGCUAACUUCGUGCCAGCAGCCGCGGUAAUACGAAGGGGGCUAGCGUUGCUCGGAAUCACUGGGCGUAAAGGGUGCGUAGGCGGGUCUUUAAGUCAGGGGUGAAAUCCUGGAGCUCAACUCCAGAACUGCCUUUGAUACUGAAGAUCUUGAGUUCGGGAGAGGUGAGUGGAACUGCGAGUGUAGAGGUGAAAUUCGUAGAUAUUCGCAAGAACACCAGUGGCGAAGGCGGCUCACUGGCCCGAUACUGACGCUGAGGCACGAAAGCGUGGGGAGCAAACAGGAUUAGAUACCCUGGUAGUCCACGCCGUACACGAUGAAUGCCAGCCGUUAGUGGGUUUACUCACUAGUGGCGCAGCUAACGCUUUAAGCAUUCCGCCUGGGGAGUACGGUCGCAAGAUUAAAACUCAGAGGAAUUGACGGGCGCCCGCACAAGCGGUGGAGCAUGUGGUUUAAUUCGACGCAACGCGCAGAACCUUACCAGCCCUU
rnacentral:rRNA from 1 species